CAUUAACGAANUUCAUUGGGAGUUGAGCUGACUCUUCGGAGUAUGUGCUUGCUUUCAACUCUUCUCUUUAACCACCUGUGCACCUUUGUAGUCUAUUGAUACCUCUCAAAGAGUCGAAAGACGAUUUGGAUAGAGGACUUGCAGUCUAAAUACUCGCUUGUCUUCAAUUUCAAURGACUAUGUCUUAUAAACUCAAUAUAAAAAACCAGAAUGUCUUUUGUAGUGUCUUUAUACGACCUAUAAACUUAUACAACUUUCAACAACGGAUCUCUUGGCUCUCGCAUCGAUGAAGAACGCAGCGAAAUGCGAUAAGUAAUGUGAAUUGCAGAUUUCAGUGAAUCAUCGAAUCUUUGAACGCACCUUGCACUCUUUGGUAUUCCGAAGAGUAUGCCUGUUUGAGUGUCAUUAAAUUCUCAAACCUCUUUGGCUUUAUUGGUCGAAAAGGCUUUGGAUGUGGGAGUUGCUGGAACUAGUCUUUCAGCUCUUCUUAAAUGUAUUAGCGGGUUACUGAUCUCCGCUACUUGGUGUUGAUAGUCUAUCUUACACCUUGUAGUUGAAUCAACUUAUGUAGCUGCUUCUAAUCGUCGACUUGGUUGACAAAUUUACUUGACUAUUUGACCUCAAAUCAGGUAGGACUACCCGCUGAACUUAAGCAUAUCAAUAAGCGGAGGAAAAGAAAC
rnacentral:rRNA from 1 species